rnacentral:ncRNA from 1 species
GUAAAGAGACCUACUUAAAGCAGGUUUUUACUAUACUAGAUUCGCCUCACGCUCAGAGUCGCCAAACUUUGAGAGCGUGGGGUUUUUU